rnacentral:tRNA from 1 species
GGGGUUGUAGCUCAGUGGUAGAGCACUUGCCUUGCAUGCAUGAGACACUGGGUUCAAUCCCCAGCACCACA